AGUUCGGAUCGCAGCCUGCAACCCGGCUGCGUGAAGCUGGAAUCGCUAGUAAUCGCGGAUCAGAAUGCCGCGGUGAAUACGUUCCCGGGUCUUGUACACACCGCCCGUCACACCAUGGGAGCCGGAAACGCCCGAAGUUGGUCGAGGAAUAGAUUACCUAAGGCGAAACCAAUGACUGGGGUGAAGUCGUAACAAGGUAGC
rnacentral:rRNA from 1 species